rnacentral:lncRNA from 1 species
AAAUGCUUCUCAUUGCUUGUCCUAGAUCAUCUAUGCGUGUGGUAUCACUCUGAUUAAUUCCUCAAUGUCGUCAUGUACCUGAAAUAUAUAAAAACGACAUCAAAUGAAUCUCCGACCAGGUUCGAGACUUUAAAUCUAGAUAAAAGUUUAAAAUGCAUAAAAUCUCCUAAACUUCUACCUAAAACAAUAGAAUUAUGCAGGAAAUAUCACUUAAAUGAGGGUGAUAAAUAUGACUAGAGUUAACAAUUCUUCUUCUUCUUUGAUUCUUCUUCGAUUCUAUUUCUUCUUCGAUUCUAUUUCUUUUUCUUUUUCUUCUUCUUCUUCUUCAAGUUUUCUUCAUCGAUUCAUUUUCUUCUUCUCUAAUUGUUCUUUUUCUUCUUUAUUUUUAUUGAAAGAGAAAAUGAAGAAAAAAGAAUCUUUUUUUUAUUCAUCUUCAUUGAAAGAAAAAAAUGGAAAAAGAAGAAUAAAAAAAAAUAUUUG